rnacentral:misc_RNA from 1 species
GAUGAAGAACGUAGUGAAAUGCGAUAAGUAAUGUGAAUUGCAGAAUUCAGUGAAUCAUCGAAUCUUUGAACGCACAUUGCGCCCGCCAGUAUUCUGGCGGGCAUGCCUGUUCGAGCGUUAUUACAACCCUCAGGCCCCCGGGCCUGGCGUUGGGGAUCGGCGGAAGCCCCCUGCGGGCACAACGCCGUCCCCCAAAUACAGUGGCGGUCCCGCCGCAGCUUCCAUUGCGUAGUAGCUAACACCUCGCAACUGGAGAGCGGCGCGGCCACGCCGUAAAACACCCAACUUCUGAAUGUUGACCUCGAAUCAGGUAGGAAUACCCGCUGAACUUAAGCAUAUCAAUAAGCGGAGGA